GUACUCAUUUCAGCAGCACAUACACUAAAAUUGGAAUGACACAGGGAAGAUUAGCAUGCCUCCUGCACAGAGAUGACAUGCAAACUCAUAAAUCAUUCCAUAUUUUU